rnacentral:rRNA from 1 species
UACGGAGGGGACUAGCGUUGUUCGGAAUUACUGGGCGUAAAGCGCACGUAGGCGGAUUUGUAAGUCAGGGGUGAAAUCCCGGGGCUCAACCUCGGAACUGCCUUUGAUACUGCAAAUCUCGAGUCCGGAAGAGGUGAGUGGAAUUCCUAGUGUAGAGGUGAAAUUCGUAGAUAUUAGGAAGAACACCAGUGGCGCAGGCGGCUCACUGGUCCGGUACUGACGCUGAGGUGCGAAAGCGUGGGGAGCAAACAGG